GCCAGCAUGGCAUAGUAGUUUUUAGCACUGGACUAUAAUGCAGGAGACCAGGGUUCGAAUCCCAGCUCAGCCA